rnacentral:rRNA from 1 species
AUUGAACGCUGGCGGCAGGCCUAACACAUGCAAGUCGAACGAGUGGCGGACGGGUGAGUAAUGUCUGGGAACCUGCCUGAUGGAGGGGGAUAACUACUGGAAACGGUAGCUAAUACCGCUUACCAUCAGAUGUGCCCAGAUGGGAUUAGCUAGUCGGUGGGGUAACGGCUCAACAGUGCGACGAUCCCUCGCUGGUCUGAGAGGAUGACCAGCCACACUGGAAAUGGUGCACGGGCCAAGCUCCUACGGGGGGCAGGAGUGGGGAAUAUUGCACUAAGGGCGCAAGCCUGAUGCAGCAAUGCCGCGUGUAUGAAGAAGGCCUUCGGGUUGUAAAGUACUUUCAGCGGGGCGGCGUUACCCGCAGAAGAAGCACCGGCUGACUCCGUGCCAGCAGCCGCGGUAAUUC